GAAACUAUUGCUGUGUUUUGAAUCCAGACGCGCCCCUGGUGGCGAUUUUCCGAGGCAGAGCCAGGAAAGUACUCUAUUGCACCAUCGUGAGAAGUUACAUCUGUGAACGGUUUCUGGCUUUGCCAUGGAGAAUCCUGAAUGUGCCGAAGGAACAGUUGCCUCAAAGAAAGAAAACAAAGAAGCAAACAAGGAUUUGAACAAUUAUUCCACCUUUUCUUUAAGCAACGUAGAAGAAAUGUCGACGAUGUUAACGGGAUUGAGUUUGGCGGAUUUUACGCCCGUUGUCGAACGGGAACUAUACUCCUUGCAGAAAAAUGUGGCAAAUGGUAUAGAAAAUGCUUCGGUGCAGUCGCCGCUUAGCGUAUCGCGGACUAUGGCGUGUUCCAUCUGCAGCACGAGUUUUAUAGACAGAAGUGAACAGGUGGGUGUAAACUUUGUACAUGUUUUGAAUUCUAUGCACAAUCUUAAAAAUUGAUAAGUAUUUUAUGAGAUUUGAGGGAUUAUAAGGUAGAAUCAGUUGAGCUAUUGAAC